UGAUUAUAUAUGAUUAAGAAAAUAAGAUUUACAUGCUUUUACGAAUUUUUGUAACAUCUCAGAACGACGUGAACUAGGGUAGACGAGAUUCAAAAUGGAGAAAUACAUGUCCACGCGAUAGUAUUCGAAUCGACGCCAUUAGUACCAAAAUUUUCAAGUUCCAUAGGUAUGGUUUAAUUUUUCAUUGUUUUCCUAUAUUUUCCUUUUAAACAUGUAUAUACGUGUUACCUAUAGGGAGAGCUCCGCUCUCACGGCCCUUCGGGCCGUGAGAGGGCUUCGCCCUCUACAACGAAAAUUAUUAUAGUGCGUGGUCUUUCUUAAUGCUAUAGAUUAGACAGGCUGAAACAGUUUUCUCAAGAAACACAAGGAUUCACUUGAGACCCCUGAAACAACGGGGCGAUUACAUCGUAUUGAAAUUUUAAAGUGAAAAAUCACCACCACUCAGCACUGCUUGUUUCCAUAUAAAUCACAACAGAAAACUUGCCAAGGCGUAAGUGCUUCAUUUAUUUCAAAUGAAGAAAAAAUGUACGUCAUAAAUAUGAAUACAGGAACAAUUGUCUGGGAGACAUGCCAGCAUCAAGGGACGUUUGUCGACAUAUCAACUGUUAAAAUGCCAGAUAUUAGAGUAUUACAUAACAGCGCUCUCCCAGUCUCAAUAAAUGCAAUAAUGCGAUAAAAUACAAAAA